rnacentral:lncRNA from 1 species
AAGUCCAUCGAGUGGCAUUUGGGUUCCAGUGUGCGUGUGUUUGGUUCGGAUGCUGACAUAAGUCCAGUGAUUGGCAGUCGGGCUCCACGUUUGCCUGUGUGUGUUUGUUUGUGUGCGUGUCAGCCGAGCUACGAAUGCUCUGAUUCUUCUCUCGUCCGAGAAGAUACGUAUGCAUAGGAUGCGAUAUCCUAGCGAGCAUGUGUCGUUUC